rnacentral:rRNA from 1 species
GCCUAGCCCUAAACACAGAUAGUGCGAACACAACACUAUCCGCCAGAGAACUACAAGCGAAAAGCUAGAAACUCUAAGGACUUGGCGGCGCUUCAAACCAACCUAGAGGAGCCUGUCCUAUAAUCGAUACUCCACGUUUCACCUCACCACCCCUAGCCAUUCAGCCUAUAUACCGCCGUCGCCAGCCUACCUUGUGAAAGAAACAAAGUAAGCACAACAGUUAGCAACUAAUACGUCAGGUCAAGGUGUAGCACAUGGGUCGGCAGAGAUGGGCUACAUUUUUUAAACAAACACACGAACAGCACGCUGAAACACCUGCUAGAAGGCGGAUUUAGUAGUAAGAAAAACAAGAAAAACUUCCUUAAACCUGCUCUGAAGCGCGC